rnacentral:rRNA from 1 species
CCUACGGGAGGCAGCAGUGAGGAAUAUUGGUCAAUGGGCGCGAGCCUGAACCAGCCAAGUAGCGUGAAGGAUGACUGCCCUACGGGUUGUAAACUUCUUUUAUAAAGGAAUAAAGUGAGGCACGUGUGCCUUUUUGUAUGUACUUUAUGAAUAAGGAUCGGGCAACUCCGUGCGAGCAGCCGCGGUAAUACGGGGGAUCCGAGCGUUUUCCGGUUUUAUUUGGUUAAAGGGGAGCGAAGAUGGGUUGUUAAGUCAGUUGUGAAAGUUUGCGGCUCAACCGUAAAAUUGCAAUUGAUACUGGCAGUCUUGAGUACAGUUGAGGUAGGCGGAAUUCGUGGUGUAGCGGUGAAAUGCUUAGAUAUCACGAAGAACUCCGAAUGCGAAGGCAGCUUACUAAACGGCCACUGACAUUGAUGCUCGAAAGUGUGGGUAUCAAACAGGAUUAGAUACCCUUGUAUC